GGAUGAAGGCCCCAGUAGGUAGUAGAGAAGGACCAUCACUGGCAGUGCCAAAGAUAAAAUAUAGGAGCCCAAAAUCCUGAGGACUCAGAACACUAAACAUGCAAGAAGAAGCUGUGACUGAUUGCAGUUACAUUUGCAAACAUGGCAGAUCUCAGGAUUUAGGUGACCAGAACCAAUACAACUGGAGCACAGUAAUCAUAUAAUGUGAAAUAUCAUGAGCCUUUGAGUCAACUACAAUGUUCGUCCCAGAUAGGUGGCAGGUUAGUAUCAACAUAAGCUGUGGCAGCAUCUAUGAAGGAAUCCCACUGUCCAAUGAUAUGUUUGUUGACAUGAUGCGGUGGAAAUGAGGUUAAUGUGGGUUCAAGUUCAUCUGGCUCGGAAUACAAAAAAUGCAAGAUGUGAUUGGCUGCUUGCAGUUACAGAACCUUAAUUAAAUCAAAAGCCAAAAAUAGCAGGGAUUCAGGUUAACCUUCUCGAGGCCUACCUUUUCUUCCUCCAAUGGACCUGCAAUCUGCAUAGUACAUCCUCAAUGGUAGCUUUAGUCCCAAUGCUUCAUCUGAUCUAUAACAGUGGUGCAGUAUUAACAAACAGUUCUCAUCGGCCUAUCAUAAGUCCGAGCUUCACUUCCUGUUAGAAGUAACCCUUCUUGACCAACUUCCCUUCUUGACCAACUUCCGUUCCUCUAUUUCAUAUCAUGGGCAAGUCCACUGUAAAAUGGAUUACUGAUGAAUCCUCAACCCUACUUGUUAAU